rnacentral:rRNA from 1 species
AAUCUUCCACAAUGGGCGAAAGCCUGAUGGAGCAACGCCGCGUGAGUGAAGAAGGCUUUCGGUUCGUAAAACUCUGUUGUAAGGGAAGAACAAGUACAGCAGUAACUGGCUGUACCUUGACGGUACCUUAUUAUAAAGCCACGGCUAACUAUGUCCCCGCAGCCGCGGUAAUACGUAGGUGGCAAGCGUUGUCCGGAAUUAUUGGGCGUAAAGCGCGCGCAGGUGGUUUCGUAAGGCUGAUGUGAAAGCCCACGGCUCAACCGUGGAGGGUCAUUGGAAACUGGGAGACUUGAGUGCAGAAGAGGAUAGUGGAAUUCCAAGUGUAGCGGUGAAAUGCGUAGAGAUUUGGAGGAACACCAGUGGCGAAGGCGACUAUCUGGUCUGUAACUGACACUGAGGCGCGAAAGCGUGGGGAGCAAACA